rnacentral:rRNA from 1 species
UCUCCUGGAAACGGGUGGUAAUGCCGGAUGUUCCACAUGAUCGCAUGUGAUUGUGGGAAAGAUUUCAUCGGCGUGGGAUGGGGUCGCGUCCUAUCAGCUUGUUGGUGAGGUAACGGCUCACCAAGGCUUCGACGGGUAGCCGGCCUGAGAGGGCGACCGGCCACAUUGGGACUGAGAUACGGCCCAGACUCCUACGGGAGGCAGCAGUGGGGAAUAUUGCACAAUGGGCGCAAGCCUGAUGCAGCGACGCCGCGUGAGGGAUGGAGGCCUUCGGGUUGUAAACCUCUUUUGUUUGGGAGCAAGCCUUCGGGUGAGUGUACCUUUCGAAUAAGCGCCGGCUAACUACGUGCCAGCAGCCGCGGUAAUACGUAGGGCGCAAGCGUUAUCCGGAUUUAUUGGGCGUAAAGGGCUCGUAGGCGGCUCGUCGCGUCCGGUGUGAAAGUCCAUCGCUUAACGGUGGAUCUGCGCCGGGUACGGGCGGGCUGGAGUGCGGUAGGGGAGACUGGAAUUCCCGGUGUAACGGUGGAAUGUGUAGAUAUCGGAAAGAACACCA